rnacentral:lncRNA from 1 species
CACCUGCCGCACUUAGACCUGCUACGUACAUCCUCUUGCGCCCUUUCUUCCUUUGUGUAACUACCACAACCCUCGGGUCUUUGGCACCAACUAUGGCAGUGUCCGACUGCUCAGAUUGUUAAGCCUGACUAGAAGUCCGCUUCCUCUUCCCCAACUGCAUAUCUAAACCAAUCUAUUGUUGGAUUAGUGUCUAAGUCCAUAACUAUUUUGGUAUGUACUUGACCCGAUGGUGCAUGGUCCUUUUGGGUUGCCUUCACCAAAGCAACUUGAUUGGAGAAAUAAAUAGAGAGAGAGGUUAUUAUGAUUUAUUAAUAUGUUAUAAGAAUAAUAUAUUAAAGGAGAAAUCAUAUUUGUUUAAUUAAUAUUGGUCAAUAAUUAAUUAAGAAUUAAUUUUGUGAUCAAGUGUAAUUAAUUAAACUAGAGGGGCUGAUUUGUAAUUAUGUGAUAGUUACAAAAUAAGGUAAGGAUUAUCUUAUAAGUAUGGUGGACGAAUUUAAGGUUGGAAAGCCUUAGAAUUCGAGUAUGAUAAGGAUUCAAGGAUUAUCUUAUUGGUUGCUUAAUGGAUAAUCAACUAGAUAAGGAUAAUGACUGAAACCCUAUCUCUACACCUAUAUAAACAACCCCAAGGUCAUGAAUUCGUGUAACCCUUCCCAAGAAGUCUUAGAAACGAAUUCUAACCUCUCUCCUCUCUCUUUAUACCUUCUCCACUUGCUUAUGGUGUUUGUAAGCCAUUAGAGGAGUGACACUUGUGACUCUCAGCUUUCCAAGGUCAAUUCAAGGAGGAAUUGGAUUGUUAUUGCUAUAUAACCAUCAAGGUAUGUUCUUAAACCUAAUUACAUGUGAAUUCUGAUUUCCAUAUGCUAGAAUUAGGGUUCAAAGUCUUGGAUUCAAAGUAUGUACAAUAGAGAAACCUAGAUCCAAGCUUUAGGGUUUGUAUGAGCACAUAGGAUGUCUUAUGACCAAAACCCAUCAGUGGUAUCAGAGCCAUGAUUGGUUUCUAUUGUAUUGAUGCUUGAUGUAACUGAAAAUCGUGUUUUGGCCUCACUGUUCGACCUGACUCGGCGAGUCACUCUUGGACUCGGCGAGUCAGCCCUACUCGGCGAGUUCCAGAGGGUGACUCGGCGAGUCGGUGCGUCAGACAGUGCUUAUCUCGGGAUUUCUUGCUGUUUUUGCAUUGGGAUAAUUACCUUAUCAUGUUAGAUUAAUAUUAAUCCGAUUAUAUGAUAUAUUUGACUAUAAUUUUAAUCUAAUUGAAGAUAUUUAUCAAUUAAUAGGAUAAUUGUUUCCUUAUAAGAUAAUUGAUUAAUUAUUUUAAGUAAAUUGAUAAAUUAUUUUGCAAGAAAUCAUCAAAUAUGGAUAAUUAUGUGAUUAAAUGUUAAUUUGAAUUAUUUGUUAUUUGAUCCUUGUUGUUGUGAAAAGUUUCAUAUUUGGCCCUUUAGGUUUUAUAGUUUAAAUUUGAACCCCAAAAGUUUUGUUGUUUUGAAAUUUAAAUAGUUGAAACCCUAAUGUUUUGAAAAAGGUUUCAAAACUUGCCCUCAAGUUUUGGAAUUUAAAUUUUGAUUAAAUAGUUUAAUUUUGAUGCAUAUUUAAAUUCUAAACCCUAAUGUGUUGAAAUGUUUCAAAACUUGCCCUCAAGUUUUGGAAUUUAAAAGUUGAUUAAAAGUUUAAUUAGGAAUGUUAAAUUCUAAAACUCUAGUAUAGUUUUGAAAAAGUUCAAAUCACACCCUUAUGGUUUUAUUAAUUAAUUAAGGUGUAUAAUUAAAAGAGGUUUAAUAAAUCCAUAAAAGUUUAGGUUUACAAUUUAAUUGAAUUAAAAGUAUAAUUGUUAAAUUAGACCACCUAGUAUUUUAAAAGUAUAAAAUACACCCUAUACUAUAUAUAACAUUAAAAGUCUAACAUUAUAUAUAUGUAUGAGUAAAAGUCAGUCUUACCGUUAGUAGGCCUCAUUCACGAAGCUGGUCUAUAAGGGGUGUUUAAGGAAAUUGCCUAUAAAAUGGCGAUUGAAUGGGUAUCCACUCUUACCCACCGCACUCUUGACUAGUGGAGGGUCGUUAGCCGAACGGGUAGGAUAGGACGAAACCUUCCAUUAUAAGUAUAAUGAAUUAUUAAAGUAACUAAAUGUUUUCAUAAAAUUCCCAAUCUUAGUUACUUAGGCAAAAGUGAAUUGAUGCAAUUCCAUGAAAUUACACUUUGUGCCCUUGCGAAGACGUUAGUGGAGCGUGUGUGGUUUACCGGCACACUAAAUGGUUCUAAGCAAAGGUAGCAAAGGGUGACUCAAUGUUUGUCAUAGUUCGGUGGAGCGUGUGUGGUUUACCGGCACAUCGAAUAGGUGACUGUAACAUGUGAGGGCACCAUGUAAGUUUGCAUGGUUAUUCACACCCGCUUUGUGAUCCUCGGCAUCCCAGUCACAAACAAGAGGGGCAUAUCGAGAUUUAAACAUGCCAUUGAAAGUUCAAUGAAUCUCAAAGGAUCUAGGAGUUUUCAUAGAUUUAAAACUUAAAUUUCUUUUUCGUUUUUCAUGGUGGAAAUUAGUGAAUCGUCAUUCACUUACCUUCAAAUAUUCUGCAAUUAGGGUUACGGCAUCCCUCUCCCGAGUUGUAGAAUAUUGUGUUGGGUCCUAGCCUUAGUAUCUCAUUUGGGUGAUUUACUAAGGACUCAAUCAAUCAACUAACUUGAAUUCGUUUUCUCCCGUUUUGUAGAUGUCAAAGUUCGACAACUAUGGUCUUCCCAAAUCCCGUGGAACAAGCAUUCCACAUGAAGAUGAUAUUCCACGAUUCGAUCGAGGAACAAGAAAUCAUGCUUCACUUCCUCCUCCUCCUCCAAUUAUUCUCCCUAACCCACAAGUUCAAAGGCUUGAAAAGUUCAAGAUCACUCAAGCCCUUUUGGCAAGUAAACAUAAAGAAGGAAAGUCGGUGUGUGCACACGUCCUAGGGAUGAAGUCACACAUUGAUAGGUUAAGAAUGUUGGGAUCCGUUGUCUGUGAGGAAAUGGCUGUUGAUUGGGUUCUUCAGUCACUUCCUAACUCAUAUAGUGAGUUCGUAAGAGAGUACUAUAUGAUGAACCGCGACGUGACCCUUAUAGAUCUCACCUAUAUGCUUAUUGCUGCUGAAUCAGCAAUGGUUUGGCGCAAUAGAAAAGCAAAGUUGAUUGGUGAAUCUGCCUUCAAGACCUCUAUGGAUAUAGACAAUGGCAACGAAAGACAUGCUAUGAUCGAAAAGUUUGAUCAUAAGAGAAAGGCAAUGUCUGAAGUAGUUCCAUGUCAUGUUCCAAAAGAGUCAAUUUGCUUUUAUUGCCAAGAGAAAGGGCAUUGGAGACGAAGCUGCCCCAUUUACCUAAGAGAUCUAAGAGAUGGGAGAGUCGAAACGUAUGGCUCUAAUAUAGGUAAAAUCCAUUAACUAACUCUUUUAAGCUUCUAUUCUAGAUUCUUAAUACAUAAUGUGAUAAGAUUACAAUUGAUGUUUUGUAGGAUCGAAGAAAAGAAAGGAAGCUUAAGGGAAGAAGUGAGCAGAAUCUAACCGUGAAGGAAUGGAUUUCGAUCGCAUUUCUCGAAGAUUAGAUUCUUGAGCUACUACUUAGAGUUAGAAUUAGAUUGCUAAGAAAGAUGUAUUAGCAUAGUUUUUCAAUGAAUUGCAUUGUAAGGACAAAUUUUUUCCGCAAUAAAAUAAAUUUUGAUUUUAUAUUAUUUAUUUAUCCUUGCAAUGGCGUAUAUGAAAAAUUGAUGUUUGAAUGUUUCUAUUAUUAGCAAUAAUGGAUUUGGUUCUUAUUAUGUUAUUUAUGGAAAGUCGAGAAUUUACCAAAUAGGGAGAGUUUCUCAUCGCCCAAGUUUCAAUUGGACAGAAACUUGGAAUCAUGCAACUUGGUUGCACGAUGAAUGAGAAAUUUCAUAUUUGGAAAUUAGACUAAUUCAUUGACAAAGUGUCAAGUGAAGGACUAGGAGAUCGAGUACACAAAGUUGCGUGUUGAUCAAGUCCACCAUAAGAGUAACAAAGAUAUUCGUCAUGAUUUACUAAAGGUUUAGUAAAUAUGAUUAUACUUACAAGAUUAAGUGUAAUUCUGAAUUGAUUGAAAAAGUUUAAAUCAAUAGCAGAACGAAUAAGAAGAAUCAAGUAGGCAGAAAGAUAAAAGUUUCUCCAUUCUAAGAAGAAGGGAGAGUACCUUUUAUGCUUUAUGAUAGGUCUUAAUGAUUAAGAACCAUAUCUCAAUUGAUCCUCUAAGUGAGUCUUAGUACAAUUGUAUGUCUAAGAAGAGGAAUCAAGAAUUGAAGAAAUGGUUAAAUCAAGAAGUCAAUCAUACUUCGUUCCAAAACAAGUCUUAGAGUUAAGAUUGUGACAUUGAGUGAUAAGUAUUAAGAAGGUUUAUAACAUUCAUCAAAUGUGGAAAGUUGUGAUGUCUUGGAUAAGACAAAGACCAACUAGGACCAAUUUAUGAAGUGUUUUGAUAAAAGCUACACUAACUCUUGAAUAUUUGUUUGUCAAGAAAUGUUUAUUGACAAGAGAAUCUUAUAUGUCAAGGAGUCAGUGGGAGUCUUAAUGGUCUUGAAAGGUUUCAAGAACAAAUCAAAUAAACCUUAUCGAUCAUCACUAGCACACGAGUUGAGGUUUACAACCUAUCGUGUUGACAUUAUUUUGUUUCUGUGCCAAUCCAAUCGAGUUAAUUAUGCAUGUGAGUUCUAUGAGUUCUCAUUUUGAACGCAUAAAAGGCAAAGCACCUUAAUCAAUGAAAGGUACAUUGAUAGGAAAGGGUGAGCUGCUUAACUACUUGGAAGACAUGGUGGGCAGCUGUGCUACCAUAAGGCAAGAAAUCAAGAUUAAGAAAGUUCGGUCCAUAUGAGUUUGAAUUUGUCGUAAACUUUGGUUUUAACAAAUUCACAUGGAUAGGAACACAUACACCGUUUAAAUCUAAGUGUCAUAAGAUUUCCUCCUUCAUGAAAAUGAUUGUGAGGAAAUGCUUUCACUAAGAAAGAUUUUAAGAAGAUAGUGAUUGUAAAAUUGCAUUCUCGAAUUCGAUUAUGGUUACGGUAUCCCUUUCCAUAAUUUGAAUUGUGAGGUUUGGCAAUUAGUCUUAAUUGUUUAGACACACAUAUGAACUAUCGAAGGCAAAGGUGUAUAAGUUCAAGAAGCCUUGAUAAAAGAUUAUCAAAGCACUAAGUAUUAGAAACAUGAACUUAAGAAAUUCAAUAAGUAUUGUUUUUCUGAAAGUUAAGAUGUUUAUGAAUACAUGUCGAAGCUAGUGGGAGCAUAAGUGUUAUGUUUUAUAAUAAUCAUCAUGAUAGUGGGAGCAUAAAUGUUAUGAUUGUAUGAUUAUUAAGGAAAGUAUUGCAAGUUGGCAAUAUUAAUUAUAGAAAACAAGAGUUAUACCUUGCAAAGUCGUAAGGGUUGUAAAGUUGUUUUGCUAUAAUUAAGGGAGAGAAUAUUAUGCUUCAUUUCAAAUCUAAAGGAUUAGGUUGAGAAAUGUUAAUAAAUUUAGUCAAAGGUACAUAGUGUGUUCUUAAAAUUUCGAUUAUGAUUACGGCAUCCCUCUUCACAAUUCGAAUUUUGAGAACAUAGCAAAUAAAACAUUAUGCGUCGUGUCCCAUACGCUUCGGGUAUAGGAUCGAUUGCAAAUGCUUUAAUGUUUGACCAUUCUAAAAUUUUCCAAAUGUCGAGCGCAUUUAGAGGGAAAAGGGACUAGAAUUGGUUUUGACUAAAAUAAUUAAACAACUAUCAAAGGACAAUCCAAAGUUCGACGAGGAUUGGUCGCUUGUGAGUAGUUGGAAGCAUGGUAUUGGAUGGACCAUAUCGACAUUAUUAUGAAUAGAAAAGAUUCUAUUAAGAAUGAGUUGUCAUAUGGAAAUUAUGGAAAUGUUUCCAUAUUGGAUGGACCAUAUCGACAUCAUUACGAAUAGAUAAGAUUCUAUUAAGAAUGAGUUGUCAUAUGGAAAAUAUGGAAGCGUGUCCAUAUUGGGAAUUGAAUAUUGAAAAUCUAUGUCUAGAUUAGAAACUUUUAUGCAAAAGGAUGUUCAAAGGAAUGUACUUUGAGUGAGAGACAUCAUAUCUAAGGAAUUGUCUUGUAACAAUCUCCGAUAGAGGACUUUGUAAUAUCAUUGGCAAUAGUCUUUGUGACUUUGGUGCAGUGACAUUACGAAAGGAUCGUUGCAUAGAAUGUUAGAAUCUAGCAUAUUCUAUAAGUAGCAAGAAUUUGAUAUUCUUUCACUUAUGAAAAAAGGAUUUGGAGUUGUGAAAUGAGAAGGAUUGGAAAUGUGUUCAAUGUGAUCUAUUUCACAAAGUAAGAACCAUAGGUAAACAUUGUGUGCAUGCUAGGAGCAUGGGACAAGUGUAGUAAUUCAAGUAAGAAGUUGAUUACCCGAAACGACAAAUAAUGAGUAAUCAAUAUGGUGAUAAAUAAAAGGUGUUUUAUUUAUACUCAAAGGUUUGAGGCCAUAUGGGAUUAGUAUUAUUCUUGUGUUUCACAUUUGCAUGUUUUGACUUCCAGAAUAAUUGAGUUUAUUAAGAAUAAUCGAAUUAUUCAAACGGGCCACAGUCGUUCAUAUGUUGGAAGUAGAUAUGAAUGAAGACUGUCGUGAAUUGGUGUGUGGAUUGUCUAAAAGAGUAUUAGACAUAAGCAAAUGUUUGCUGCAACGUUCAUGAGUGCUUAUGAAUAUGAUUUGAGCAUUGGAUUAAACCCACGCUCACUUGGAUCACUCCAUGAAUUGUAUCACGAGUGAUUGGUGAGACGAUAACAUCUUAUAUUCUUGAAACCGAGAUGUGUGAGUUGUAUCUUGCAAAUCGGUUGCACAUUGAUAAUAUGUAAACGCACUAGUAACUUGGUGUUAUAAAACAUAUUGUUGUGUGUGAUUCGGUGAGUGAGUGCAAGCAAGCAUUGUAUCAAAGUUUAUCCGUUCCUUUUAUCCAAAGUAGGAUAAAAGCGAUAUCUUUGGGCCCCUCGAUGGUUUAGUGAUGACAAACGUAAAUGCUCGGCCGGGCUAGGGCUAAUUUGAUUUGUUCAAUUAGUCAGUCGUCAUAAAUCGGAAAUCGAGAUAUAGUACAAAGAGAAUGAUUUGAAAUCAUAUCUCAUAUGAUAUCUAGAAUGGAGGAAUAUAUGAUCCCUUAUCUAAGGACACGCGUAUCUGAUAUGAUCAGAGUUGACAGCGGCUUUGGAAAGCUACGAUUGCAGAUCGGGAUCCGAAGUCAUACGCAGAAUAGUUGUUAGACUUAUCCAAGUGGGAGACUGUUGGAUUAGUGUCUAAGUCCAUAACUAUUUUGGUAUGUACUUGACCCGAUGGUGCAUGGUCCUUUUGGGUUGCCUUCACCAAAGCAACUUGAUUGGAGAAAUAAAUAGAGAGAGAGGUUAUUAUGAUUUAUUAAUAUGUUAUAAGAAUAAUAUAUUAAAGGAGAAAUCAUAUUUGUUUAAUUAAUAUUGGUCAAUAAUUAAUUAAGAAUUAAUUUUGUGAUCAAGUGUAAUUAAUUAAACUAGAGGGGCUAAUUUGUAAUUAUGUGAUAGUUACAAAAUAAGGUAAGGAUUAUCUUAUAAGUAUGGUGAACGAAUUUAAGGUUGGAAAGCCUUAGAAUUCG